GAUUUGUUGGUUCAGUGGUAGAACUUUCACCUUCCAUGGGGGAGACCUGGGUUCAAUUCCCAGUCAAUGCA
rnacentral:tRNA from 1 species